UACGUAGGGUGCAAGCGUUAAUCGGAAUUACUGGGCGUAAAGCGUGCGCAGGCGGUUAUGCAAGACAGAGGUGAAAUCCCCGGGCUCAACCUGGGAACUGCCUUUGUGACUCCAUGGCUAGAGUACGGUAGAGGGGGAUGGAAUUCCGCGUGUAGCAGUGAAAUGCGUAGAUAUGCGGAGGAACACCGAUGGCGAAGGCAAUCCCCUGGACCUGUACUGACGCUCAUGCACGAAAGCGUGGGGAGCAAACAGG
rnacentral:rRNA from 1 species